rnacentral:rRNA from 1 species
GGUCCGAGUUGUAAUUUGCAGAGGAUGCUUUUGGUGCGGUGCCUUCCGAGUUCCCUGGAACGGGACGCCUUAGAGGGUGAGAGCCCCGUACGGUUGGCCACCAAGCCUGUGUAAAGCUCCUUCGACGAGUCGAGUAGUUUGGGAAUGCUGCUCAAAAUGGGAGGUAUAUUUCUUCUAAAGCUAAAUACUGGCCAGAGACCGAUAGCGCACAAGUAGAGUGAUCGAAAGAUGAAAAGCACUUUGAAAAGAGGGUUAAAUAGCACGUGAAAUUGUUGAAAGGGAAGGAUUUAUGACCAGACUUUUUUUAGGGGGAUCAUCCGGCGUUCUCGCCGGUGCACUUCCCCUAAUUGAGGCCAGCAUCGGUUUUUGCCGGGGGAUAAAAGCUUCGGGAAUGUGGCUCCUUCGGGAGUGUUAUAACCCGUUGCAUAAUACCCUGGCGGGGACCGAGGUUCGCGCAUCUGCAAGGAUGCUGGCGUAAUGGUUAUUAAUCACCCGUCUUGAAACACGGACCAAGGAGUCGAACAUUUGUGCGAGUGUUUGGGUGUUAAACCCUCACGCGUAAUGAAAGUGAACGGAGGUGAGAGCCCUUACGGGUGCAUCAUCGACCGAUCCUGAUGUCUUCGGAUGGAUUUGAGUAAGAGCAUAACUGUUCGGACCCGAAAGAUGGUGAACU